GAUUAACGCUGGCGGCGUGCAUAACACAUGCAAGUCGAACGAAGUGGCGGACGGGUGGGUAACGCGUGAGUAACCUGCCUUAGAGAAGGGGAUAGCCUUUGGAAACGAAGAAUAAUACUCUAUGCGUUAAGAUGGACUUGCGUCUGAUUAGUUAGUUGGGGGGGUAACGGCCCACCAAGACAGCGAUCAGUAGCCGGCUUGAGGAAAUUGACGGCCAUCUUUGGUCUGAGACAAGGCCCGGACUCGUCGGGAGGGAGCAGUGCGGAAUUGUCCACAAUGGGGGAAACCCUGAUGCCGCGACGCUGCGUGAUUUUGAAGGCCUUCGGGUUGUAAAAAUCUUUUCUAUGGGAAGCGUUAACAUAGGAAUAAGGACCGGCUAAUUACGUGCCAGCCGCCGCGGUAAUUC
rnacentral:rRNA from 1 species